AGUUUGGAUCAUGGCUCAGAUUGAACGCUGGCGGGAUGCUUACACAUGCAAGUCGAACGCAGCACGGACUUCGGUCUGGUGGCGAGUGGCGAACGGGUGAGUAAUGUAUCGGAACGUGCCUAGUAGCGGGGGAUAAUCGAUGAAAGUAGACAAUACCGCAUACGUUCUUCGGGGGAAAGCGGUAUCUUCGGUCGCACCAUUAGAGCGGCCGAUAUCGGAUUAGCCGAAGCAGGGUAACGGCUCACCAAGGCGACGAUCCGUAGCUGGUUUGAGAGGACGACCAGCCACACUGGGACUGAGACACGGCCCAGACUCCUACGGGAGGCAGCAGUGGGGUCUGGAUAAUGGGAACUUGAUCCAGCCAUCUCGCGCGUGCGAUGAAGGCCUUCGGGUUGUAAAGCACUUUUGCAGAGAAAGAAACGGCACGGGAUAAUACCCCGUGCAACUGACGGUACCUGCAGAAUAAGCAACUGGCCAACUACGUGCCAGCAGCCGCGGUAAGCCAUGUAGGUGCAAGCGUUAAUCGGAAUUGACAGCGUAAAGCGUGCGCAGGCGGUUCGGAAAGAAAGAUGUGAAAUCCUAGAGCUUAACUUUGGAACUGCAUUUUUAACUACCGAGCUAGAGUGUGUCAGAGUGGAGGUGGGAAUUCCGCGUGUAGCAGUGAAAUGCGUGCAUAUGCGGAGGAACACCGAUGGCGAAGGCAGCCUCCUGGGAUAACACUGACGCUCAUGCACGAAAGCGUGGGGAGCAAACAGGAUUAGAUAUCUGGUAGUCCACGCCCUAAACGAUGUCAACUAGCUGUUGGGGCUCGCCUUGGUAGCGCAGCUAACGCAAGUUGACCGCCUGGGGAGUACGGUCGCAAGAUUAAAACUCAGCAAUUCGAUUUAACUGCACAAGCGGUGGAUGACGUGGAUUAAUUCGAUGCAACGCGAAAAACCUUACCUACCCUUGACAUGUCUGGAAUCCCGAAGAGAUUUGGGAGUGCUCGCAAGAGAACCGGAACACAGGUGCUGCAUGGCUGUCGUCAGCUCGUGUCGUGAGAUGUUGGGUUAAGUCCCGCAACGAGCGCAACCCUUGUCAUUAGUUGCUGAAAGGGCACUCUAAUGAGACUGCCGGUGACAAACCGAGAAGGUGGACGACGGUCAAGUCCUCAUGGCCCUUAUGGGUAGGGCUUCACACGUCAUAAUGGUCGGGACAGAGGCCGCCAACCUGCGAGGGGGAGCCAAUCCCAGAAACCCGAUCGCAGUCCGAUCGCAGUCUGCAACUCGACUGCGUGAAGUCGGAAUCGCUAGUAAUCGCGGAUCAGCAUGUCGCGGUGAAUACGUUCCCGGGUCUUGCACACACCGCCCAUCACACCAUGGGAGUGGGUUUACCAGAAGUAGUUAGCCUUAACCGUAAGUGGAGGCGAUUACCACGGUGAGAUUCAUGACUGGGGUGAAGUCGUAACAAGGUAA
rnacentral:rRNA from 1 species